rnacentral:rRNA from 1 species
UACGUAGGGCGCAAGCGUUAUCCGGAAUUAUUGGGCGUAAAGAGCUCGUAGGCGGUUUGUCGCGUCUGCCGUGAAAGUCCGGGGCCCAACUCCGGAUCUGCGGUGGGUACGGGCAGACUAGAGUGAUGUAGGGGAGACUGGAAUUCCUGGUGUAGCGGUGAAAUGCGCAGAUAUCAGGAGGAACACCGGUGGCGAAGGCGGGUCUCUGGGCCGAUACUGACGCUGAGGAGCGAAAGCGUGGGGAGCGAACAGG